ACGGGAGGGCUGUAUUGCAAGUGA
rnacentral:siRNA from 1 species